UGGGGAAUAUUGGACAAUGGAGGAAACUCUGAUCCAGCAAUUCUGUGUGUGUGAAGAAGGUUUUAGGACUGUAAAACACUUUUAGUAGGGAAGAAAAAAAUGACGGUACCUACAGAAGAAGCAACGGCUAAAUACGUGCCAGCAGCCGCGGUAAUACGUAUGUUGCGAGCGUUAUCCGGAAUUAUUGGGCUUAAAGGGCAUCUAGGCGGUAAGACAAGUUGAAGGUGAAAACCUGUGGCUCAACCAUAGGCUUGCCUACAAAACUGUUGAACUAGAGUACUGGAAAGGUGGGUGGAACUACACGAGUAGAGGUGAAAUUCGGAGAUAUGUGUAGGAAUGCCGAUGAUGAAGAUAACUCACUGGACAGAAACUGACGCUGAAGUGCGAAAGCUAGGGGAGCAAACAGG
rnacentral:rRNA from 1 species